ensembl:misc_RNA 7SK 7SK RNA
GGGUGUGAGGGCGAUCUGGCUGUUACAUCUGUCACCCCAUCGAUCGCUAGAGUUGAUUCUGCUGAUCUGGCUGGCUAGGCGGGUGUCCCCUUCCUCUGUUACCUCUCCACCUGCGUCCCUCCCGAAGCUGCGUGCUCAGUCGAAGAGGAUGACCAUCCCUGAUAGAGGAGGACUGGUCUUUGGUCAAGGGCAUAUGAGUAGCCGCGCUCCCCUGCUAGAACCUCCAAAUAAGCUCUCAAGAAACAAAAAACCUAUUUCUGAUUAUGUCAGUGUUUCAGCUUUUCAGGGAAAAGCGAAUACUCAAUAAACAGAUAAAGUAGGCUAUGUCGUUAUUAUUU